AGGGCGGCUGCCGCGCGGCGGUGUGCUAGCAGCUUUAGCGGGCAACUACAGAGGGCAGCUCACUGCUGUGAAAUAGAUUAAUUAAUAAAUGAUGUCAAUUAGAGUCCAGCAACGACAGCUAAUAUAGCAGGGCUGAAGGCUGAGAGAAGAAGCCCUGGAAGCUGUCAGAGAGGAGCCAUGGACACUGUCUCUGAACCGGACCCUGGACUCACUAUGGAACCUGAGGACAAGUCUUUGGACCCGAGGAAGACCAGCCACAGAAGAUUUGAUGGGGAGGGAUUCUGCAGACCGUAGGAAGACUGUCUGGACUGUGAAUGACAGCCAUGCAGUAUGGAU
ensembl:lncRNA